AUCAGGUCUCGGGCCAUUUCCCAGCCAUCUGUCUCGGACAUCAUCAAAUCUUCUUAAAGGAAGUGUAUACAAAAGUGUUCUCAAAGUGAGCUCUCAACAGAGAAGGAAUUAAUGGAAAUAAGAAAUAAUUCCUUUAAUAUCCGGCUCAGUCUGUAAAGGAUUACACUUUGAAAAGCAACUGGAGGUUUCAUAUUGCCCAUAUUACAUUUCUUUGUUUCUUUACAGAAUGUUCAAUGGAACUAUGACAUCUGGCCACCCUAACAACACGCUCUCUUCUGGCAGUUUGUGGAACUAUGAUGUCAUCGUCUUUGGUGACGUCAUUACACACACACCCCUCUCUCCCCUGAGGCAGCCAAUCAGUGUGAGGCGGCAUCCUUUGGAGGUGGAAGAGCUGGGUUUAGUUUGAAGACAAUUUUAUUGACUCUCCUAUGAAAAUCAUUAGGACUAGUGUUGAAGUGGUUCUUUGAAAUUAAAUCAACAAAAAUAUUUCGUGAAAUUCACUAGUGACUCCUUUACGUGAGA